rnacentral:rRNA from 1 species
CCGCCCCGAAUUGUAGUCUAGAAAGGCGCCAUCGGCAGCGUCCGUCGCUUAAGUUCCUUGGAAUAGGAGAGACGGAGAAGGUGAGAUCCCUGUACCGUGGCGGAUCGCUGCCGCACGAUGCGUUCUUGCAGAGUCGGGUUGCUUGGGAUUGCAGCUUGAAUUGGGUGGUAAAUUCCAUCUAAAGCUAAAUAUUGGCUCAUGACCGAUAGCGAACAAGUACCGUGAGGGAAAGAUGCAAAGAACUUUGAAAAGAGAGUUAAAGAGUGCUUGAAAUCGGCAAGAGGAAACCCGGUUGCGCCCGGUUUUGCGUGACAUUUUCACCGUUUCGAAGCGGUUCACUGUGGAUCGCAGGGUCCAACGCGACUGCUGAUGCUUCAUAAUCUCUGAGGGGGCCUCUGGUGAGCUCAGUGACUGUGGCGUUGGCGGUCCCGUUGGACGGAACGGGCGCAACCGACCCGUCUAGAAACACGGACCAAGGAGUCUGACACGGAUGCGAGUACCCGGGUGGCAAGCCCGCGUGCGCAAUGAAAGUGAAGGGCGUGCCCCGCCAACCGACCUUGAUCUUCUGUGAAGGGUUUGAGUCGAGCAUCACUGUCGGGACCCGAAAGAUGGUGAACUAUGCCUGAGGAGGUUGAAGCCUGACGAAAGUCAGGUGGAGGACCGUAGCGAUACUGACGUGCAAAUCGUUCGUCGAACUUGGGUAUAGGGGCGAAAGACUAAUCGAACCAUCUAGUAGCUGGUUCCCUCCGAAGUUUCCCUCAGGAUAGCUUGGACGCAAGGGUUUUGU